rnacentral:rRNA from 1 species
GAAUAUUGGACAAUGGGGGCAACCCUGAUCCAGCAAUGCCGCGUGUGUGAAGAAGGCCUUAGGGUUGUAAAGCACUUUCAGUUGGGAGGAAGGUAAGUUUGUUAAUAGCAAACUUAAUUGACGUUACCGACAGAAGAAGCACCGGCUAACUCUGUGCCAGCAGCCGCGGUAAUACAGAGGGUGCGAGCGUUAAUCGGAAUAACUGGGCGUAAAGGGUGUGUAGGUUGUUAUGUAAGUUAGAUGUGAAAUCCCCGGGCUUAACCUGGGAACUGCGUUUAAGACUGCAUGGCUAGAGUGCUGUAGAGGAUAGUGGAAUUUCCAGUGUAGCGGUGAAAUGCGUAGAUAUUGGAAGGAACACCAGUGGCGAAGGCGACUAUCUGGACAGUUACUGACACUGAGACACGAAAGCAUGGGGAGCAAACAGG